UUCGAUAUGGCGCAGUGGCUAGCGCGCCUGUUUUCGAAUUUCGAGGUCACGGGUUCGAUUCCGAACGGGGUCGAUU